CCUACGGGUGGCAGCAGUAAGGAAUAUUGGUCAAUGGGCGCGAGCCUGAACCAGCCAUGCCGCGUGCAGGAAGACGGCCUUAUGGGUUGUAAACUGCUUUUAUCGGGGAAUAAAACUUUCUACGUGUAGAGAGCUGAAGGUACCCGAAGAAUAAGCAUCGGCUAACUCCGUGCCAGCAGCCGCGGUAAUACGGAGGAUGCAAGCGUUAUCCGGAUUCAUUGGGGUGAAGGGGUGCGCAGGCGGAAGUGGUGAAAUUCUAGUGCUUAACAUUAGACCUGCCAUUGAUACUGUCAGUCUAGAGUAUAGUUGGAGUGGGCGGAAUGUGUCAUGUAGCGGUGAAAUGCUUAGAUAUGACACAGAACACCGAUCGCGAAGGCAGCUCACUAAGCUAAAACUGACGCUCAUGCACGAAAGCGUGGGGAUCAAACAGGAUUAGAUACCCCAGUAGUC
rnacentral:rRNA from 1 species